UUUCUUUACACGACCCCCAGUAACCCACCAUCUACCUAACAUCCCAAGAUCUCUCAUCUGCUUGCUUCUUCACUUCCAGAUUAGCUUUCUUUUCUCUAUCUGACCUUCUUCUUGCUCACUUUCCUCUUGAAGAUUCGUCCUUUAUUGGGUCAAUCUUACUAUAAGUAAUCUGGGUUUGUUACCAUUUCACUCUCCAUAGUCGCCAUUCUCGCAUUUACCUUCUUCUUCUUCUUAUUGUUGUUAUGCGAAGAUUAAACCCUUUUCUGCAUUUGCUCUUUGAAGAUGUAGUAGGUUUCUUGUAAGUCUUCUUCUUCUUCCUUAGGAAUGAUUGGAUCGUUUACCAAUUCUAUCCUUUCCUUUUUUUCCUUCUCGUUAUUGGUUUGCAAUAAAUGCAAUAUGGGUCCUUGUAUUGAUAUUGUUUGAGCUGUAGUUGAUCUGGUAAUUAAUUUCUGUGAAUUUGUGUACUUGGUUUUGGUUGAGCUUUCAAUUUCCAAUUAUUGGGCAAAAUUGUCUAUCUCUCUUGAAGUUGCAUUUUGGUUCAGAUUUAUCUCAUCGGUUCUACUGUUGGGCAUUGAAUUCGUUAGCCAUAUAGCAAUGCACUCCAUUUGUUUCUUAAUAUUCUUUUUGGUAGAGUUAGCGAAAGGUUUGUCAGAUUUGGAUGCACUUUUGGAUUUAAAAAGAGGAAUUCAGGAUAACCCAUCAGGGAACGUUCUCCUAUCAUGGGAUUCCAAAUCAAUGUCGUCUGAUGGUUGUCCGAUGAAUUGGAAUGGAAUUGAGUGUGUUAACGGCAGUGUCACAUCCAUCAUUCUUGAUGGCUUCAAUCUGUCUGGCGAAUUCAAUCUCUCUGCCAUUUCUCGUCUUAAUAUGCUACAAAAUCUGUCAAUUUCCAACAAUCAAUUCACUGGAAAUGUUAUGGAACAACAACUAGAUGGUUCAUCAAUUGGUUCGUUGCAAUUCGUUGAUCUUUCCUGUAAUCAAUUCCAUGGAUCAAUAUCUUCAUUGUCCAGUUUGAAAAACUUGAUGCUUCUAAAUCUUUCCUUAAACAAUUUUCAAGACCCAAUCCCUUCUGAUCUAGGAAAACUAGCAAACCUCAAGUAUCUUGAUCUGAAAUCAAAUGGGUUUUCCAGCAAUGUGAUGAGUCUUCUAUCACAGUUAGGUGGUUUGGUUUAUGUUGAUCUAAGCUACAACAGGUUUAAUGGCUUCCUAGACCUUGGCCUUGGAAAUUCAACUUUUAUUUCUACAAUCCAAUAUUUGAACGUCAGCCAUAACAACUUAGAUGGGCAGCUCUUUUCCCAUAACGAAGUUCCAUAUCUAGACAGCUUACAGGUUUUCGAUGGAAGUAAUAAUGGGUUUUUCGGGAAAGUUCCUCCUUUCAAUCUUGUCGUGUCUCUUCAGAUUCUGUUGCUUGGUAGCAAUCGCUUGAAUGGAUCUCUGCCAUUAGGUCUUUUACAAGAAAGCUCGAUGGUCUUGUCUGAAUUGGAUCUCAGCUUUAAUCAGCUUCAAGGUCCAAUUGGUAACAUUAUUACAUCACCAACUUUAAGGAAACUGAAUUUAUCGAAUAAUAAGCUGUCAGGCACGUUACCAAUCAGGGUCGGUCACUGUGCGAUCAUUGAUCUGAGCAACAACUUGUUGUCGGGUAGCCUUUCCCGGAUUCAGGGCUGGGGAAACUAUGUCGAGGUUAUCAAUUUGAGUUCAAAUUUACUAACCGGAGCCUUACCAAAUCAAACUUCGCAGUUCCUGAGGUUGCUUUCCUUAAUCGUAUCAAACAAUUCAUUAUCGGGUAUUAUCCCGCCCAUUUUAACUCAAUACCCCGAAUUACAAGUUAUUGAUCUUAGCCAUAACCGUCUUAACGGUCCACUUCUUCCAAUCAUGUUCAACUCAACUGUGUUGAUUGAUAUUAACCUCUCUAAUAACAAUUUCACCGGUCCUCUUCCUUUUCAACCGGUUGACUUGAGUCAGAAUCUAACCCUUGUAUCUCUUGAUCUAUCGUUUAAUGAAUUGAGCGGUCCUUUACCUCGAGAAAUAGGAGAUUUCCAUAGCUUGGCAUACCUCGAUAUCUCGUUUAAUCAGCUCGAUGGUGUUAUCCCGGAUGAUCUCUCGAGCCAAUUGAAAAGUCUGAAUUUGUCUUACAACAACUUUAGCGGUGAUGUGCCUGAAAACUUACUGCGGUUUCCCGAUUCAUCGUUUCACCCGGGAAACUCGUUUCUGGUUCUUCCUUCAAAUUCCUCUUCAGCAAGUUUGAAUUCGGGAAAGCAUAAAGCUUUUUGGAAAUCUGCAGUAAGAACUGCCAUCAUCGCAGGAUUGGUAGUCGGGUUUUCGAUCUUAAUAAUGUUAAUGGUUCUAUUAAUCUAUUUCAGAAGCCGUCAGAAACAGUAUAAUAAUCCAGGUAGUAAAGAGAUUCUAGAAGAGGAUUCUAUUCAGUCUCCGAAAUCAGAACUACAGGUGGCAACGAGAAGUGUUGAAGGGUUGCCGCCGCCGUCGUCUUCUUCGAUGUCAUUCAUUGAAUCGACGAACCCAGAUCCAUCAAACGGUGAUGAUUGUACGCCGGACAAGCUCGCCGGAGAUCUGCAUCUGUUUGACAGCUCUUUAUCGUUUAGUGCGGAGGAGCUUUCUCGUGCUCCGGCCGAACUUAUAGGGAGGAGCUGUCAUGGGAUGCUGUAUAAGGCAGUCCUGAGUUCGGAUCGGAUUCUAGCUGUGAAAUGGUUGAAAGAAGGAAUCGCGAAAGGGAAGAAGGAAUUUGUUCGUGAAGCGAAGAAACUCGGGAAUAUUCAUCAUCCUAAUUUGGCACCCCUUCGCGGUUAUUACUAUGGGCCGAAGGAUCACGAGAAUCUCAUCGUAUCGGAUUUCAUAUCCGCCCCUUGUUUAGCGCUCUAUCUUCAUGAGACAAGUCCUAGACAGCUCCGACCGAUAUCUCUACAAGACAGGGUUAAGAUCGCCGUAGAUAUUUCCCGAUGUCUGAACUACCUCCACGUGGAAAGAGCCAUACCACAUGGAAACUUAAAAUCGACGAACGUCUUGAUUCAAACAACGUCAGGUCCGACAGCCAUACUUACCGAUUACAGUCUUCACCGGUUAUUGACUCCGACGGGUACGGCUGAGCAAGUAUUGACUGCGGGUGCGCUAGGUUAUCGGCCACCUGAAUUUGCGAAUACGAGUAGGCCGUGUCCGUCGGUUAAGAGUGACGUUUACGCUUUUGGGGUGAUUCUUCUGGAGCUCUUAACGGGGAGAAGUUCGUCGGAGAUUGUGUCGGCGGAGACUGGAGUUGUUGAUUUGACGGAGUGGGUUAGGUAUUUGGCGGCGGAGAGUCGGUCUUUUGAGUGCUUUGACGACAGCUUGAGUGUGGAUGCUGAUCGUUUGUACAGAGAGAUGGAUCGGGUGCUUGAGGUGGCUUUGAGUUGCAUACUUACGGCAUCGGAAAGGCCUGAUAUGAAAACUGUCUUUGAACAUCUUUCGGCCAUUGAAAUCGGUGGAUCAUCCGCCGCCGCCGCCGCUUCUCCGGCGACGACGACGGAGUAGAAGAUGAAGAAGAAGCGAGGAUCCAGGAACUCCCAACGUCGGAACGCCAUCUUCAUCGCUUCAGGGAUAGCAGACGUCGGGGAGAAGGGAAGCAGACGUAUUGUCGAGGGCUAAGUUCGGCAUUUGCUUGGACGACUCGUUGGGGAUGAUCGGCGUUUGCUUAGACGACUCGUUGGGGAUGAUCGGCGUUUGCUUAGACGACUCGUUGGGAUGCCUCGUUGCGCUGAGAGAGAAUAAGAGAGGAGAGAGUGGCCGAAGAAAAGAAAGAGAAAUAAGAAGACAUUUAUUUGAGGGUAAAUUAGUCUUUUGCAAUGGGCAAAAGAUCAAUUUUACAAAAGUUAACUUCCCGUGUUAUGUUUAAAUUUCCUUGUGUAUAAGGGAAAUCUCUAGUGAAUCAAAUUA